rnacentral:rRNA from 1 species
GAUACCCUGGUAGUCCACACUGUAAACGAUGGAUACUAGGUGUAGGGUGUAUUAAACAUUCUGUGCCGCCGCAAACGCAUUAAGUAUCCCACCUGGGGAGUACGACCGCAAGGUUGAAACUCAAAGGAAUUGACGGGGGCCCGCACAAGCAGUGGAGUAUGUGGUUUAAUUCGAAGCAACGCGAAGAACCUUACCAGGGCUUGACAUAUACAGGAAUAAGUAAGAGAUUACUUAGCUCUUCGGAGUCUGUAUACAGGUGGUGCAUGGUUGUCGUCAGCUCGUGUCGUGAGAUGUUGGGUUAAGUCCCGCAACGAGCGCAACCCCUGUCCUUAGUUGCCAGCACGUAAAGGUGGGAACUCUAAGGAGACUGCCGGUGAUAAAUCGGAGGAAGGUGGGGAUGACGUCAAAUCAUCAUGCCCUUUAUGUCCUGGGCUACACACGUACUACAAUGGCCGUAACAGAGAGAGACGAAACAGCGAUGUGGAGUAAAACUCAAAAAGCGGUCUCAGUUCGGAUUGAAGGCUGAAAUUCGCCUACAUGAAGUUGGAAUUGCUAGUAAUGGCAGGUCAGCAUACUGCCGUGAAUACGUUCCCGGGCCUUGUACACACCGCCCGUCACACCAUGAGAGUUGGAGAUACCCGAAGCCUGUGAGCUAACUUUUUAAGAGGCAGCAGUCGAAGGUAGAAUCAAUGAUUGGGGUGAAGUCGUAACAAGGUACC